GAUGAAGAACGUAGCGAAAUGCGAUAAGUAGUGUGAAUUGCAGAAUUCAGUGAAUCAUCGAAUCUUUGAACGCACAUUGCGCCUCCUGGUAUUCCGGGAGGCAUGCCUGUUCGAGCGUCAUCAAAAACCUCAACCCAUGAUUUAUUGUGAGUUGGUUCUGCAUUGGACUCCUUGUGGGUCCUUUGCGAAAUCCAAUGGCGAAGAGCCACGCAACCAAAGCGUAGUAUAACUAUUUCGUUAUGGAAGCGUGGGUGCCUCUGCCGUAACCCCCAAUUUCUUAGUUUUUGACCUCGGAUCAGGUAGGGAUACCCGCUGAACUUAAGCAUAUCAAUAAGCGGAGA
rnacentral:misc_RNA from 1 species